UACGGAGGGUGCAAGCGUUAUCCGGAUUCACUGGGUUUAAAGGGUGCGUAGGCGGACAAGUAAGUCAGUGGUGAAAUCUCCGAGCUUAACUCGGAAACUGCCUUUGAUACUCUCUGUCUUGAAUAUGGUGGAGGUAAGCGGAAUAUGUCAUGUAGCGGUGAAAUGCUUAGAGAUGACAUAGAACACCUAUUGCGAAGGCAGCUUACUACGCCUAUAUUGACGCUGAGGCACGAAAGCGUGGGGAUCAAACAGG
rnacentral:rRNA from 1 species